rnacentral:rRNA from 1 species
UACGAGUGCCCCAAGCGUUAUCCGGAAUCAUUGGGCGUAAAGCGUGCGUAGGCGGCUAUGUAAGACAGAUGUGAAAUCCCUGGGCUUAACCUAGGAACUGCAUUUGUGACUGCAUUGCUAGAGUGUGGUAGAGGGAGAUGGAAUUCCGCAUGUAGCAGUGAAAUGCGUAGAUAUGCGGAGGAACACCAAUGGCGAAGGCAAUCUCCUGGACCUGCACUGACGCUCAUGCACGAAAGCGUGGGGAGCAAACAGG